rnacentral:rRNA from 1 species
AGGACGAACGCUGGCGGCGUGCUUAACACAUGCAAGUCAAGGGGGCCCAGCAAUGGGCAACCGGCGAACGGGUGCGUAACACGUGAGCAACCUACCGAAAUGGGGGGGAUAGCCGGCCUAACGGCCGAGUAAUACCGCAUACGCUCUCGAUGAGGCAUUUCAUUGAGAGGAAACCUACGGGACAUUUCGAGGGCUCGCGGCCUAUCAGCUAGUUGGCGAGGUAACGGCUCACCAAGGCAACGACGGGUAGC